rnacentral:rRNA from 1 species
GAUGAACGCUGGCGGCGUGCCUAAUACAUGCAAGUCGAGCGAACAGACGAGGAGCUUGCUCCUUUGACGUUAGCGGCGGACGGGUGAGUAACACGUGGAUAACCUACCUAUAAGACUGGGAUAACUUCGGGAAACCGGAGCUAAUACCGGAUAACAUUUUGAACCGCAUGGUUCAAAAGUGAAAGACGGUCUUGCUGUCACUUAUAGAUGGAUCCGCGCCGCAUUAGCUAGUUGGUAAGGUAACGGCUUACCAAGGCAACGAUGCGUAGCCGACCUGAGAGGGUGAUCGGCCACACUGGAACUGAGACACGGUCCAGACUCCUACGGGAGGCAGCAGUAGGGAAUCUUCCGCAAUGGGCGAAAGCCUGACGGAGCAACGCCGCGUGAGUGAAGAAGGUCUUCGGAUCGUAAAACUCUGUUAUUAGGGAAGAACAAAUGUGUAAGUAACUAUGCACGUCUUGACGGUACCUAAUCAGAAAGCCACGGCUAACUACGUG